GAUGAACGCUGGCGGCGUGCCUAAUACAUGCAAGUCGAGCGAACGGACGAGAAGCUUGCUUCUCUGAUGUUAGCGGCGGACGGGUGAGUAACACGUGGAUAACCUACCUAUAAGACUGGGAUAACUUCGGGAAACCGGAGCUAAUACCGGAUAAUAUUUUGAACCGCAUUGUUCAAAAGUGAAAGACGGUCUUGCUUUCACUAAUAGAUGGAUCCGCGCUGCAUUAGCUAGUUGGUAAGGUAACGGCUUACCAAGGCAACGAUGGAUAGCCGACCUGAGAGGGUGAUCGGCCACACGGGAACUGAGACACGGUCCAGACUCCUACGGGAGGCAGCAGUAGGGAAUCUUACGCAAUGGGCGAAAGCCUGACGGAGCAACGCCGCGUGAGUGAUGAAGGUCUUCGGAUCGUAAAACUCUGUUAUUAGGGAAGAACAUAUGUGUAAGUAACUGUGCACAUCUUGACGGUACCUAAUCAGAAAGCCACGGCUAACUACGUG
rnacentral:rRNA from 1 species